UACGUAGGGAGCAAGCGUUGUUCGGAAUUACUGGGUGUAAAGGGCGCGUAGGCGGCAGAAUAAGUCGGAUGUGAAAUUCCGGGGCUCAACCCCGGAGCUGCAUUUGAAACUAUUCAGCUAGAGGUUAGUAAGGGAAAACGGAAUUCCACGUGUAGCGGUGAAAUGCGUAGAUAUGUGGAAGAACACCGGUGGUGAAGACGGUUUUCU
rnacentral:rRNA from 1 species